CGGGAAACCAUUCUAAUCCAAUGGUAUGAAUUGAAAACACUAUUAUUAUUGUCUAAAAAUUGUAAUAUAUUGAUCGAUAAGAAUAACUAUUUCUUGAUACAAUGGCAAAAAACAUAGAUGCCCCCCCUAAACUUGGUAAUAUUUUUCACUUAGACAGCUAAACCAAGGAUAGUUCCUACUGAACACUUGAAGUGAAACAAAUUGUAUCAAAUAAACACACACUGUUGAUAUGGCACAAUACAUAUAACACAUCACUAUUGAGGCGCGUGAGAGAUUUCGUUUAAAAAAAAUCUCCAAUCUCUUUCUUCCUCUUUUCUAUUGCCCCCACUUCUGCCACCAUAGCCGCUACUCCGCCACAGUCCAACCAGCUCUAUCUUUCAAAUUCAAUUCCAAUGACAAAAUUUACGGCCAACACCAAAAAUCUUUUUUAGAUAGAAAAAUGGCACCACCGAAUUACUUCUAUCUUCCUCUAUUCAUCUCUACCCAGCUCCUCCCCUACUCGACCAUCGCCACCACGGCACCACCGCGACCCCCGAGCCCAAACUGAAGUCCACUCCUUCACCAUCUAAGUUCACUUCAAUCACUUUGCAGUCUCUACUAUUAUUACACUGCUAUGAAUUUCACUUAUGAAAACCUUCAGUCUCAGCUCUCAAAUAACCCACCCAUCACCUUCACCGCCAAAAAAAGAUUAGUUCAACGCAAAACAUCACUAUUAUUAGAUCUCAUAGAAGAUGGGUUCUCUCUGAAAAUUUGAGUGUUGUAUUUUUGUUCCUAUAAGCUCUUGAUGAUGAACAGUUUCCUUUACAAAACGUUGUUGAUUUCAAAUAUCUCUCUUUUAUGCUUGAAUUUGUAUCGUUGGUAUACUUAGAUUUCUAAUCAAGGUUAUCAAUGAGAAAAAAAGUUUACUGAAAAUGGGGAAGAAUGGGUUUAUAAGAGAAGAAGCAGAGGCACCAAAUUCUGCAAAAUGACAUUUUAAUCCUCGAGUGUUAGCAGGAAAGGCGCAAAGCUAGCAUUAGUCAUUCCGACACUUCCGCCGCCGCUCGGCAAUUGCAACCACACCAAUAUACCGCCGUGGUUGGUUUAUCGCCGGCUUGUCAAAUUCUUCCUCUCUUUUCAAGUCAAGGGAUUGUACUAAUUUAUUCGCCUUAUCAGAAAAGAUGGAGUACAGAAACAAGCUUGUCUUGGCUCCAAUGGUCCGAGUGGGUACAUUGCCAUUUAGGCUGCUUGCUGCCCAAUAUGGUGCGGACAUAACCUAUGGAGAGGAGAUUAUUGAUCAUAAAAUCAUCAAAUGUGAGCGGAGAGUUAAUGGUAAUUUCUUAUUCAUCCUUUUUACGGCAUUCUAUCCGUAUUGUCCUUUAACCUUAAGUUUGUUAUAUAUCUUAAGUAUCAUGUAGUAUGUAGAGAUAUUACUUAUGUGAAAGGAUGAAAUCAACAACUUCAAAAAAUACCAAUGAAGCAAGGACAUUGCCGGUCUUGAUUUUAUGCAAGAUCCUUUAUUUGAUGAGUAUAACCUUGCUCUGAAUGGUGUUGUAUAUGUCAAUCGGAAUACUUCUAUAUUUAGUGGAUUAUCAAGUUGUUACUCCCUUCGUUUCAAUUUAAAUGACACGCUUUCCUUAUUAGUCCGUUCCAAAAAGAAUGACAUAUGUCUAUA